rnacentral:tRNA from 1 species
GCGGGUGUAGUUCAGUGGUAGAACGCUUCCUUGCCAAGGAAGAGGUCGCCGGUUCGAUCCCGGUCGCCCGCUCCA